UGCGUAGGCGUUGUGCACAGUGACGUAUUACAUAAUUCCUGUGCAUUUCUCCCACGCAUA
rnacentral:pre_miRNA from 1 species